ACGUUGGCAGUAGUGCUGACCUAUCCCCUUAUUGAAAGCAUUUGUUAAUGCCAUUCCAACAAUACUUAAAAACAGGCUGAAAGAUGAAAGUGAUUUACCAACAACUUAACUCCUUACCAUGCUUGCACCAAUUUAGAGGAAGACAAACAAACAACAAAAUUCAAGCAGUCCACAACAUAAUAUUCCCAAUAUUAGGCAUCUAAUUAAAAUUUACGAGAUUAAAACAGACAUUAUAACCAUAUUGAAGUAUUUAUAGGAAAACAUAAUGAGGGGAGAGUGGAAGAUACUAAAAAAAGG
rnacentral:lncRNA from 10 species